rnacentral:rRNA from 1 species
UACAGAGGGUGCGAGCGUUAAUCGGAAUUACUGGGCGUAAAGCGUGCGUAGACGGUUAUUUAAGUCGGGUGUGAAAGCCCCGGGCUCAACCUGGGAAUUGCAUUCGAGACUGAAUAGCUAGGGUACGGUAGAGGGAAGUGGAAUUUCCGGUGUAGCGGUGAAAUGCGUAGAUAUCAGGAGGAACACCGGUGGCGAAGGCGGGUCUCUGGGCCGAUACUGACGCUGAGGAGCGAAAGCGUGGGGAGCGAACAGA